rnacentral:rRNA from 1 species
ACAUGCCUACAACAUAGCAUUAAUGCAAUAGAUCUCAUUAGAAAUCUGCAGUUAAGUGCGCUCAGGCUAGAGUAGUACCGGGAUGAGUGAUCGCCUGGGAAGUCCUAGUGUUUUACAUGCC